AUUUAUGCUUUGAUGAAGAGGAGUAAGGAAAAGAAGGUAUUAAGAGAGGAAGAUUUGUUAGCUGGAAGGUCUUCUAUACAGUUAUUCUUGAAGGUAGCUUCGGAGCAUCUUUGCUGAAUAUAAACUUAAGCAAAGACGGUGUCUUAACCGAUAUUAAUUGAGAGCCUGCAUUUUUUAUGUGGGAAAAAAGGUGGUAACGCGCGCAGUCGUCCUUUAA
rnacentral:ncRNA from 1 species